GACGAACGCUGGCGGCGUGCUUAACACAUGCAAGUCGUACGGUAAGGCCCUUUCGGGGGUACACGAGUGGCGAACGGGUGAGUAACACGUGAGUAACCUGCCCACAACUUUGGGAUAACGCUAGGAAACUGGUGCUAAUACUGGAUAUGUGCUCCUGCUGCAUGGUGGGGGUUGGAAAGCUCCGGCGGUUGUGGAUGGACUCGCGGCCUAUCAGCUUGUUGGUGGGGUAGUGGCCUACCAAGGCGGCGACGGGUAGCCGGCCUGAGAGGGUGACCGGCCACAUUGGGACUGAGAUACGGCCCAGCCUCCUACGGGAGGCAGCAGUGGGGAAUAUUGCACCAUGCGCGCAAGCCUGAUGCAGCAACGCCGCGUGCGGGAUGACGGCCUUCGGGUUGUCAACCGCUUUCAGCAGGGACGAAGCUUUUUGUGACGGUACCUGCAGAAGAAGCACCGGCUAACUACGUG
rnacentral:rRNA from 1 species